rnacentral:rRNA from 1 species
GUUGACCUCGGAUCAGGUAGGAAUACCCGCUGAACUUAAGCAUAUCAUAGGUGGGGAAGGAA